rnacentral:rRNA from 1 species
UUUAAUGAGAGUUUGAUCCUGGCUCAGGACGAACGCUGGCGGCGUGCCUAAUACAUGCAAGUAGAACGCUGAUGUUUGGUGUUUACACUAGACUGAUGAGUUGCGAACGGGUGAGUAACGCGUAGGUAACCUGCCUCAUAGCGGGGGAUAACUAUUGGAAACGAUAGCUAAUACCGCAUAAGAGUGAUUAACACAUGUUAGUUAUUUAAAAGGAGCAAUUGCUUCACUGUGAGAUGGACCUGCGUUGUAUUAGCUAGUUGGUGAGGUAAAGGCUCACCAAGGCGACGAUACAUAGCCGACCUGAGAGGGUGAUCGGCCACACUGGGACUGAGACACGGCCCAGACUCCUACGGGAGGCAGCAGUAGGGAAUCUUCGGCAAUGGACGGAAGUCUGACCGAGCAACGCCGC